GGCUCAGGACGAAACGCUGGCGGCGUCGCUCACACACGCAAGUUCGAACGAUGAAGCCUAGCUUCGCCAGGCGGAUUCGUCGGCGAAACGGGUCGAGUAUAUACGCGAGUCGACCUCACCUUCGACUCCGGGAUAAGCCUGGGAAAACCGGGUCUAAUACCGGAUACGACCAAUCUCCGCAUCGGGACGCUGGUGGAAAGCGUUAUGGAGUCGGUUUUUAGAUGGGCUCACGGCCUAUCAGCUUGUUGGUGAGGUAAUGGCUUACCAAGGCGACUACCGGUAGCCGGCCUGAGAGGGUCGACCGGCCACACUGGGACUGAGACACGGCCCAGACUCCUACGGGAGGCAGCAGUGGGGAAUAUUGCACAAUGGGCGCAAGCCUGAUGCAGCGACGCCGCGUGAGGGAUGACGGCCUUCGGGUUUGUAAACCUCUGUUAGCAUCGAAGAAAGCGAAAGCCGACGGUAGGUGCAGAGAAAGCCCCUGCUAACUACGUGCCAGCAGCCGCGGUAAUACGUAGGGCGCCGAGCCUUUUCCGGAAUUAUUGGGCGUAAAGAGCUUGUAGGCGGUUUGGUCGCGUCCUGCCUGUGAAAGGCUGGGGCUUAACCCUGGUUUUGCAGUGGGUACGGGCUAACUAGAGUGCAGUAGGGGAGACUGGAAUUCCUGGUGUAGCGGUGGAAUGCGCAGAUAUCAGGAGGAACACCGAUGGCGAAGGCAGGUCUCUGGGCUGUAACUGACGCUGAGAAGCGAAAGCAUGGGGAGCGAACAGGAUUAGAUACCCUGGUAGUCCAUGCCGUAAACGUUGGGCACUAGGUGUGGGGGACAUUCCACGUUUUCCGCGCCGUAGCUAACGCAUUAAGUGCCCCGCCUGGGGAGUACGGCCGCAAGGCUAAAAACUCAAAGAAAUUGACGGGGGCCCGCACAAGCGGCGGAGCAUGCGGAUUAAUUCGAUGCAAACGCGAAGAACCUUACCAAGGCUUGACAUAUACUGGACUGCGUCAGAGAUGGCGUUUCCCUUCGGGGCUGGUAUACAGGUGGUGCAUGGUUGUCGUCAGCUCGUGUCGUGAGAUGUUGGGUUAAGUCCCGCAACGAGCGCAAACCCUCGUUCUAUGUUGCCAGCACGUGAUGGUGGGGACUCAUAGGAGACUGCCGGGGUCGAACUCGGAGGAAGGUGGGGAUGACGUCAAAAUCAUCAUGCCCCUUAUGUCUUGGGCUUCACGCAUGCUACGAAUGGCCGGUACAGAGGGUUGCGAUACUGUGAGGUGGAGCUAAUCCCUAAAAGCCGGUCUCAGUUCGGAUUGGGGUCUGCAACUCGACCCCGUGAAAGUCGGAGUCGCUAGUAAUCGCAGGAUCAGCAACGCUGCGGUAAAUGACGUUUCCCGGGCCUUGUGCGCGCC
rnacentral:rRNA from 1 species